rnacentral:rRNA from 1 species
GUCUGGAGUUUUUGGAUCUGGUUCAGGAUGAACGCUGGCGGCGUGCUUAACACAUGCAAGUCGAACGGUGAACACGGAGCUUGCUCUGUGGGAUCAGUGGCGAACGGGUGAGUAACACGUGAGCAACCUGCCCCUGACUCUGGGAUAAGCGCUGGAAACGGCGUCUAAUACUGGAUACGAGUAGCGACCGCAUGGUCAGUUACUGGAAAGAUUUAUUGGUUGGGGAUGGGCUCGCGGCCUAUCAGCUUGUUGGUGAGGUAAUGGCUCACCAAGGCGUCGACGGGUAGCCGGCCUGAGAGGGUGACCGGCCACACUGGGACUGAGACACGGCCCAGACUCCUACGGGAGGCAGCAGUGGGGAAUAUUGCACAAUGGGCGCAAGCCUGAUGCAGCAACGCCGCGUGAGGGAUGACGGCCUUCGGGUUGUAAACCUCUUUUAGCAGGGAAGAAGCGAAUAGUGACGGUACCUGCAGAAAAAGCGCCGGCUACCUACGCAGACGAUCGCA